CCUACGGGGGGCUGCAGUGAGGAAUAUUGGUCAAUGGGUGCAAGCCUGAACCAGCCAUCCCGCGUGAAGGAUUAAGGUCCUAUGGAUUGUAAACUUCUUUUGUAUAGGGAUAAACCUACCCUCGUGAGGGUAGCUGAAGGUACUAUACGAAUAAGCACCGGCUAACUCCGUGCCAGCAGCCGCGGUAAUACGGAGGGUGCAAGCGUUAUCCGGAUUUAUUGGGUUGAAAGGGUACGUAGAAGGCAGUGGUGAAAUCCUGUCGCUUAACGAUAGAACUGCCAUUGAUACUGUAAGUCUUGAGUAUAGGUGAGGUAGCUGGAAUAAGUAGUGUAGCGGUGAAAUGCAUAGAUAUUACUUAGAACACCAAUUGCGAAGGCAGGUUACCAAGAUAUAACUGACGCUGAGGGACGAAAGCGUGGGUAGCGAACAGGAUUAGAUACCCGUGUAGUC
rnacentral:rRNA from 1 species